rnacentral:rRNA from 1 species
AUUGAACGCUGGCGGCAUGCCUAACACAUGCAAGUCGAACGGCAGCACAGCAGUAGCAAUACUGUGGGUGGCGAGUGGCGGACGGGUGAGGAAUACGUCGGAAUCUGCCCAGUCGUGGGGGAUAACUAGCCGAAAGGUUAGCUAAUACCGCAUACGACCGAGAGGUGAAAGCGGGGGACCGCAAGGCCUCGCGCGAUUGGAUGAGCCGACGUCGGAUUAGCUAGUUGGCGGGGUAAAGGGCCCACCAAAGGCGACGAUCCGUAGCUGGUCUGAGAGGAUGAUCAGCACACUGGAACUGAGACACGGUCCAGACUCCUACGGGAGGCAGCAGU